rfam:Pluralibacter gergoviae strain JS81F13 contig_10, whole genome shotgun sequence.
GUCAUACUACGGCGCAAAGCCCUGUAAAGUAAACGAUGACCCAUAGUGAACUUCAGGGUAAAAUGUGUAUCAAACAGAAAAAUUACCGCUGACCUGGAAUUGAAGUUCCGGGUCAGUUUUCUUU